ACUUUGAAAGUGCCAGAGUAGAGUGUGCAACCCAAGCAUGUCCAGAAUUGCUGUGAAGAGAUUUUGAAUCAUUAUUUCCAGAAGUGGCUAAUAGCAAACUAAUGAUUCUGACUAUAACACCACAAAACCAAGAAUGAUAUGAUAGUUUGACAUGAAGAAGUAGAAAUUGAAAGAGAAACGCUCUUGGAAAAGUUUAUCAAUAGUGCUAAAGAAAUUUGCUAUGCACUUCAAGCUGAGGAUAGUGGGCUGAAUUAAUUGGUUUGGCAUUUUUUGGACCAUGUAUAAACAACCCUCUUUUUAAAACAGAUGAAAGCUACUAACAUUUAGGAUUAUCUGUUGAUGAUCUUGGAUAAUGUGAAGCGAUUUAUCAUAGUCUCUGGGGCACCGAUGUAUUUGUCGGAAGUAUGUUCACUAAUGCAACACCAGACAGCCAUAUUAUAGAGAAAUUAAGGGGAAAUUAG
rnacentral:lncRNA from 1 species